UUGCAAGAAAGAGGUGUGGAAUAGAUUUUUGUUUCCAAUAACAACCACAAAUACUUACUGCAUUCAUCACCACACUUCAUUUACUCAAAUUUUACUUACCUUACAAAUAAUGAUAACACAGAAAAUGACACUAUUGAUGCUGAUUGAGAACAAAAUAAACAAUAAUAACCAAAAAAACAAAUGCUAAAUGCAACGAGUAAAAAAAGAAACUACGGAGAACAAUGUAUAGGUGGGCUAACAUAUAAGAGGGAGGCCCAAAAGAAGAGCAAUACAGUAACCAUGGGCAAGCCCAACAAAAAGAAAUGCCAUAACCCGAGAGAGGCUCAGACCAACAAAUAAAAAAGCUGUUCGAGAUGACCGUUACGUAAAAAUUAGGGCACUGGGGUACGUACAAUAAAGAGAUUUCGUCCAACGUUGAUAACCUGUUUUGCAGAGCUACCACUACCAGAGAUGAAGGAAUGGAUAGGGGAAAAGGACAAAAAGCUUUUUAGGGUUGGUCUUCACGGUUGAGGUCUAGCUGAGCAAAAGUGUCAAUCGACCUUAGUUCAACGGUUUGCCUUAGCAGAGCUGAAGGAAGGACCCAAUUUUCAUCUCUGAUGAAGUCACUGACUUUGGCAAAUUGAGCUACAGAGUGGGUAUGUAUGGAGAGAUUGUUAAUUCUGCAUGACAGAGGACUCAAUCGCAUCCAAUUGUAGCACAGGAACACAGUGGACUCCCCAUUGCCUAUAGGGUGUUUGAUGAAAUGCCUAGCAAUGGACUUAGCUGCAACAUUUUCCUCCAAGUCCAAGAUGAAUUUUGAGAUUGAGAGGAACUUGCGGAAGAUGUGGCAAACUUUGGGGAAUCGGUUACGUAACUAUGGCUCUAAUAAUGGAUUAGACUCUCGGAAACUGUGAAAUCAAAGGAUUACCUAUAUAAUAAGCACAAUUUUGGCCAGGAUAAUAUGAUGUGGAACAGAAUGGAGCAAACCAAUAUUCAAGCACUAGUUGGCUAGUUGCAACACUGAAGAGACAAGUGUGGCCUAGCGGUAUUAGCCUCUUACUUCCCAAAGAGAGGUUAGAGGUUCAAGUCUCAGAGAAGAUAAGUGUGUAUGAGUACCAUCUAGGAAAAAAAAAAAAUCCUCAAAGUGUA